rnacentral:rRNA from 1 species
CCUACGGGAGGCAGCAGUGAGGAAUAUUGGUCAAUGGGCGUAAGCCUGAACCAGCCAAGUCGCGUGAGGGAUGAAGGUUCUAUGGAUCGUAAACCUCUUUUAUAAGGGAAUAAAGUGUGGGACGUGUCCUGUUUUGUAUGUACCUUAUGAAUAAGGAUCGGCUAACUCCGUGACAGCAGCCGCGGUAAUACGGAGGAUCCGAGCGUCGUCCGGAUUUAUUGGGUUUAAAGGGUGCUUAGGCGGCCUUAUAAUGAUGGAGUUAAAGUCUUGGACUAAAACAUAGAAUUGCCGUUGAAACUGGGAGGCUUGAGUAUUUUUGAGGCAGGCGGAAUGCGUGGUGUAGCGGUGAAAUGCUUAGAUAUCACGCAGAACCCCGAUUGCGAAGGCAGCCUGCCAAGCCAUGACUGACGCUGAUGCACGAAAGCGUGGGGAUCAAACAGGAUUAGAUACCCCGGUAGUC